rnacentral:rRNA from 1 species
AGUGAACCCUGGCGGUAGGCCUAACACAUGCAAGUCGAACGGCAGCACAGUAAGAGCUUGCUCUUACGGGUGGCGAGUGGCAGACGGGUGAGGAAUACAUCGGAAUCUACUUUUUCGUGGGGGAUAACGUAGGGAAACUUACGCUAAUACCGCAUACGACCUACGGGUGAAAGCAGGGGAUCUUCGGACCUUGCGCGAUUGAAUGAGCCGAUGUCGGAUUAGCUAGUUGGCGGGGUAAAGGCCCACCAAGGCGACGAUCCGUAGCUGGUCUGAGAGGAUGAUCAGCCACACUGGAACUGAGACACGGUCCAGACUCCUACGGGAGGCAGCAGUGGGGAAUAUUGGACAAUGGGCGCAAGCCUGAUCCAGCCAUACCGCGUGGGUGAAGAAGGCCUUCGGGUUGUAAAGCCCUUUUGUUGGGAAAGAAAAGCAGCAGGUUAAUACCCCGCUGUUCUGACGGUACCCAAAGAAUAAGCACCGGCUAACUUCGUG